rnacentral:rRNA from 1 species
UACGUAGGGUGCGAGCGUUGUCCGGAAUUAUUGGGCGUAAAGAGCUUGUAGGCGGUUUGUCGCGUCUGCCGUGAAAUUUCGAGGCUCAACCUCGAACUUGCGGUGGGUACGGGCAGACUAGAGUGUGGUAGGGGAGACUGGAAUUCCUGGUGUAGCGGUGAAAUGCGCAGAUAUCAGGAGGAACACCGAUGGCGAAGGCAGGUCUCUGGGCCACUACUGACGCUGAGGAGCGAAAGCAUGGGUAGCGAACAGG